rnacentral:tRNA from 1 species
CGGAGUGUAGCGCAGCCUGGUAGCGCACCUGCUUCGGGAGCAGGGGGUCGCGUGUUCGAAUCACGCCACUCCGA